CUGCUCUCCAUUAUGCUGUGUAUAGUGAGAGCACCUCGCUGGCAAAAAAACUGCUUUUCCAUGGUGCAAAUAUUGAAGCACUGGACAAGGACAAUAAUACCCCACUUUUAUUCGCUAUAAUUUGCAAGAAAGAGAAAAUGGUGGAAUUUUUAUUGAAAAACAAAACAAGUACACAGGCCGUUGAUAGGCUGAGACGGUACAGUAGUUUUUUUUUUUUUUAAAUAAAAACCUGCAUAUUCUAGAGUGGUAACAGUCACUGAAGUCAGAAAUAUUAAUAAGAAGAUUAACAUAAUUAUUGGCAUAUAAUAAAAAAUAUCACCAUGAAUAAUCAGAUAGAUCAGCAAAUAUUUGGACGGAGUGAUAUAAAGAACAGUAUAGAGUAGGAUUCAUCUUCUCUUAUAAUAUAGAGUGUUUGUUAUUUAUAAUUGGAUGUUUUUGGUACUGUAAUCUUUUAUUAGCUAAAGGGUUUUGUAUUAGUUUUAUUAUUUUUUUUUUUUUGAGAUGGAGUCUCGCUCUGUUGCCAGGCUGGAGUACAGUGGUGUGAUCUUGGCUCACUGCAACCUCCACCUCCCAGGCUCAAGUGAUUCUCCUGCCUCGGCCUCCCAACUAGCUGGGACUACAGGUGCUGGACACCAUGCCCAGCUAAGUUUUGUAUUUUUAGUAGAGAUGAGAUUUCACCAUAUUGGCCAGGAUGGCCUCAAUCUCUUGACCUUGUGAUCUGCUCUCCUUGGCUUCCCGAAGUGCUGCGAUUACAGGCAUGAGCCACUGCACCUGACCAGUUUUAUUAAUUUUUAAAGUGUGGACCUUUAGUUCAUGACUGCUAGAAUUAUCCUUAUUAUGAUUAUUGUUGUUGUUGUUUUCAGCCUGCAGAUAACUCUUAUCUGACCCCUGGCUGAUUUGAAUUGUAAUAUAUCAGACUAGGAAAGCAAUGGGGUAAUCUUCAUCUAAAUAUUUGCCUGCUUUAGAUAAGUGACCUCAGCACAGUUUCUUGGCCAUCAAAGGACUAUAAGUUAGCAACUUGUAUUAUGUCAUACCCCAGUGGGACGAGAGGCUUCCUUGUCCCUUUCUUUUAGCCUUGGUGAUAAUUUACAAAGAUGAACACCUGAGCACCCUAGAUGCUUAUAGACCCAAGCUAGUACCUGCAAAUGGUUAUUACGUCUACACUGACAGGUGGAUAUUAAAUUGGUAAAGUGUAUCAAACUAGCUGUUUAAAAAAGUCUUUAUUAAAGUUCUUGAGUGGA